GGCCGCACUGAGAGGAUUGGAGCUGAGAAACCGGCGGAUGGCGAGGAUUCUCCCCAAGGCUGCCGCCGCCGCCGCAGCCUCCAUCGAACUAGCCGGCCUCCGCUCGCCAUUCCCCUCCUACUCCUCCUCCGCCGUCCCCCCGUCCACCCGGUGCUGGCCUCUGCUCUGUUCCUCUCCGUGGGCCCUCUCCUCCCUGCGGUCGUGGCUGCGGUUUGCCAAGACAGUGGAUCUUAUAGAGGCCAGAGGAACAGCAAUGAGGGAUACUGACUUUGUAAAAGGUGGCAAAACAGUGAUUGUUUUUAUCAAAGAUCCUGAUUAUUAUAAGUUUGAGCUUUUGGAAAGGGCCUCAACACCAUAGCCCUUGUGUCGACUUUAAUCACCGUACUUCUCCCUAAAAGCUAAGGUUAUUUCUAGAUCAGCUUGUCAUUUUUUGGGAGGAAAUGUUCGAUCCUUAGCUAUGUUCAUGGCACUUAGUAUGGAGCUUCUCCGCAAACAAGGGAAUGCUGAAUUCAAGGGCUUUGUUGACAAUAUAGGUUUUGCCAUAGAGACAGAGCAAUCAAUGGCCAUGAAUGAGUUUAGUGCUGUAUCUACAUCUCAAGUGAGUGCCUCUCACUCAACGGUGCCAGUGCUGGACCAAUCUUGCAAAGCAUCUGCAUCAGAUUUCACUUUGUACAUGGAUCGUCUUUGUAUAUACUUGUAAUUUGCAUAUGUUUUGCUAUCGGUUGUAAAGUUGCAGUUUCUUAGCCAAGUGCAAUGAAAGUUCAAUCAUGGAGGAUGUUCUAUAUUUUGGAUUGUCAUACAUUUACCUGUCUGUUGGAGUCUAUGUAAAGAUCAAAGGAACAAGCAUUUUCUCAGUUUAAGAAUG